rnacentral:rRNA from 1 species
AUUGAACGCUGGCGGCAGGCCUAACACAUGCAAGUCGAACGGUAACAGGAAGAAGCUUGCUUCUUUGCUGACGAGUGGCGGACGGGUGAGUAAUGUCUGGGAAACUGCCUGAUGGAGGGGGAUAACUACUGGAAACGGUAGCUAAUACCGCAUAACGUCGCAAGACCAAAAAGGGGGACCUUCGGGCCUCUUGCCAUCGGAUGUGCCCAGAUGGGAUUAGCUAGUAGGUGGGGUAACGGCUCACCUAGGCGACGAUCCCUAGCUGGUCUGAGGGGAUGACCAGCCACACGGGAACUGAGACACGGUCCAGACUCCUACGGGAGGCAGCAGUGGGGAAUAUUGCACAAUGGGCGCAAGCCUGAUGCAGCCAUGCCGCGUGUAUGAAGAAGGCCUUCGGGUUGUAAAGUACUUUCAGCGGGGAGGAAGGGAGUAAAGUUAAUACCUUUGCUCAUUGACGUUACCCGCAGAAGAAGCACCGGCUAACUCCGUG